GUUUGUUGUAGGAAAUAUUGAACAAAUGGAUUAACAAUAUUAUUUUUUUUCAACUAACUUUCUUUUGUAGAAAGAGCCCAAAGGGCUUUUACAUGGUUUCAGAUACAUUGAAGGGUCCAUUAGGAAAACAACAUAAUAUAACAUUUAAAGCCCAAUAAAGAGAAAACAGUCUAAAUCUAAAAAGCCCUAACAGAUUCAUCUUCAAUCAACACGUGUCUUCCAUUUUCGAGCAACAGAAUUCCAACGCCGUGAGUAGGACGCUGCCGUAAGGAUUCUGUUCUCUCUACAUCGAAAAACAAUACGCACCGAUUCAAUGGAUCUGAAAAAUACUCUCCUUCGCGCCUCUGCUCCUUCAAUUUCCGUUCUCUUCCUUUGGAUGUGAAAAGCUCCAAAUACCUUCAAAUCGAUUUAGAACCAACUAUUGUCAAAACAUUUGCUAAAAGCAAACUUUGACUCUUCUUAAGUUGACCCACAAACCGUGGAGGAUAAUCUGUAAAACCCAAAACUCUUGUCCUUCUGAAUACUUUGCCAAGAUUUAUAACAGCAAAGAUUGAUUUCAUCCAGAAAAAGAGAUUGAGGAUGACCAUCGGAAAAAGAUGAAAACCAAGAAACAGCCGGAAUAUUUAUUAACCCAGAGAGUAUUAGAAGAUUAUUCACAAACACAACAAAAGUAUCGCAAAGCGAAGAUUUUAAGUCGGCUAAACCGAAGCAUACAUCCGCAAACGGAAAGGAAAAUCGAACUAAGCCGAAGGUCCGAUCAAAUAUUUACAUACAAAAAAACAAAAGGAGAAAAAGGUAACCAGCGGUGGUGAAACCACCGGCCCCUAAACGCUAUUUGUUUUCUUUGAAAGUUCUUAGAGAGAGGUUAGAGAAAAAGUAGAGAGAUAAUGGAUUAACAGUAUUAAAGCCCAAUAAAACCACACUCUCCCGUAAAAGAAAAAAAACGAAGCACAGUCUCGCGUAAAAGAAAAAAGUGAAGCUCCCUCCGUCUUUGACACGUGGCGGCAAAAGGAACAGGAUGUGCUGAGGUGGCACUCUAAGGAGAGUUUCUCGGCAACUUUAUUAAGAUAGAUAUAUGUUUUUUUGCUUAACUCUCUUUAUAUUCUUGUUGUGAUACGUAAGGUCCGGCCAUUGUGUUAUUUAACCGAGAGAUUCUUAUAUACAUGUAGGGAAAAUAUCAUUUUAAAUCCUGAGAAUGUCACAUUCUCGCACUUUAAACACUGAACAUUUUUUACUAACACUUUAAACCUUGAAAUUGACAUUUUUAUCAUAACAAACCUCCAAGUCAACUAGGUGACAUGUACUGUUUAUUUUGUGAUGACGUGUCGAUUUUUUCAAUUUCUUUUUUUCUUUCUUUUAAAUAAAAAAUAAAAUACACAGAAAAUUAAAAAGAAAUUUAAAAAAAUUUAAAAAAUCAAAAUGUCGAAAAAACGAAAAAUAUUCAAAAAAUCUAAAAUUUCAAAAAAAAUAUAAAAAACAACAUUUCAAAAUUAAAAAUAAAAGAAAUAUGUUUAAAAAUUAAUCCAAUUAUAAACCAAUAUAAGUAUAUAUAAAAUAAUAAGUUGAAUGGUGAUUCUAGAUUUUGGUUUUCGGUUUUUGAUUUUUAAAAAAAAAAUUGAUUUAUUAAUACUUAACUUGUUAAAUUUUCAAAAUUAAUCCUAUUAUUUGUAUUAUUUAUUAAAGUGAUAUUUAUUUUAGUAAUUUUAAGUUUGUUUAAAAAGAAAUUAACUUAUAAGUGAAGUUCUUAAAAUAGUAAAUAACUUUGAAAUUAAAUAAAUAAUUAAUCAAACUUUAGAGAAACUAAAAUAUAUGUUACUUAUCUAAGAAGCUCCACUCAUACCAAAACCUAACAUAUACAAAUCUAAAGGCAUAGCUCUCUAUCUCUUAAUUAUAUUUCAAACUAACUUAUAGUAUUUUAGUUAAGGUCAAAAACAUUUUAAGUGGUCUAUGAGAUAAUUUCUAGUUUCACAAAAUUUAAUAAGUUAAGUAUUAAUAAAUCAAAAAUUAAAAAAAAAAUCAAAAACCAAAAAAAAAAAAGAAUCUAGUAUCACCAUUCAAGUUAUUAUAUAUAUAUAUAUAUAUUUAUUGGUGUAUAAUUGGAUUAAUUUUUUAAAAAAUAUUUUAUUUUAUUUUUAAUUCUGAAAUGUUAUUUUUAUAUUUUUUGAAUUUUUCAAAAAAAUCAAUUUUUUUGAAUUUUCUAUGUAUUUUAUUUAUUUAUUUUUUAAGAAAAAAGAAAAAAAAGAAACCGACACGUCAUCACAAAAUGAACAGUACAGAUCAACUAGUUGACUUGGUAAGGUUUGUUAUGAUAAAAAUAUCACUUUCAAAGUUUAAAGUGCAAGUUAAAAACGUUCAGUGUUUAAAAUACGAGAAUGUGACACUUUCAGGAUUUUUUUUUAUCAAACCAACUUGUAUUAAAUUCAGAAGAGUUUAAGCUCCAUUAAGGGAGAGUACAACAAAGCUACAAAGAGCCCAAUGGAAUACGAAACAGAUAAACCUAAGAUAGAAUGAAAAUACAAAUCAUAACAAGUAAACAUUAGAAAUCGCAUCACAACGGUUUCAUGAGUAUCUUGAACGAUUGCAUCUCGGGUAACUCUGAGAGUCACAACCACUGCACUAAAGGAAGGGAAGAGCGUUAGCCGGGAGGAGAAUCCUUACAAUACCAGCCACACAUGUUCAUCUAAUUCACUCCAUACAUGAGGAAAUAUUGGGAAAAGAGACUGCUCCAAACAGGAGGCAAGCGGAUAAUCAAUACCCACCAUUACCAUAUUCACCAAGCAACAAAUCACAAUGAUUGUCUCUUUCAACUGCCACCAAGAAGAGAAACACACAGACGCUGCACCACAAACCAAGUUGAAUACAAUAAUAGGACUGCAUACUGCAGUAGAGAGUUGCAUCAACGCAACAUAAAAACCACUAAAAGGCACAAAGAUAUAACCAAAGGACACUGAGUCCAUCAGUACACUACCAAAUAAAGCCAAAAACCACAACUCCAGAGUCACCUACAUAUCUAGCAUUGCAUCCUUUUCAAAAGAAUAGGAGUAAACAGAGAGUAAGGAGCUAAGGUGGACCUGGACGUCUAUAAGCGGAUGGAUAAAAUGAAAGCUGGAAUAAGAGCCGGGAGAAGACCCAUUCCCGAGCUGACAAAGAUACAACCUGUGUACCACAGGAGAAGAACGCCAGUUGACAAAGAUAGUGUCACCAGUGAACACAAGAACAGCACCAUCAUCACUGACUUACUUGAAACCCUUGAAUAGUUAAACAUCAGAUCUAGGACUUGAGUAGCUUGUGGAGAAGAGCUGGAGGAAGUGAAAAGAACGAGGCUGACGGAGACGUCUGGUGGGUCUGGAGGUUCUGGUGGCUUGACCGGAGGAGUUUCAAUCGGAAGAUGCUUGUUCCGUGCCGGAUCUGAAGGAGGCCUGGGCUGUGAAAGAGGAGGAAGGGCUGUCACCAUCAUCUUCAAGGAGGAGGAGCAGUGCUGCAUCAAGCCAAGGAACGACGGCGGCGGCGGAUCUGGAGGGGGGCGGAGACACGACGGAGGAAUAGUCACCAUCAUGGCCAUGGAGAGGAGCAGGGCUGUUUCAGAGAGUGGAGGAAAGAGUGGCGUGGUUAGAGCAAGGAAGAUCCAUCGAAACGGCGCCUCGGGAUGCGGGCUCGAGAGAGUUUCUCUCUAGGGCGAACUAUGUGACACUCUGAGGGUUUAAAAUACGAUUUUCCUAUAUAUAUAUAUAUAUAACUGUUUCAAAUAGCGUCAAUUUGAAAAAAAGUGAAGAGAUUUGUCUUUUUCGUGUAAUUUAAAUAUUUAGAUUGAUUAAUCCUCAUUCUUUUUUCUUUGAUUGCAAUGUAUACUAGAACAAGGUUAAGAUCCGCACCUUGCGCGGGAUGAACAUUAUACAUAUAAAUUAUUUUAUAUAUUAUAUGUUUAUAGCAUAUUAUGAAAUAAUAAAUAUAUAUUGAAUAAUUAAAAAGUCAUUAUCUACUACUUAUAUAAUUAAAUUGGUGCGACCAUAUAAAUAAAUUUAAUAAAUCAAAAAAUUAUUUUUUCUAUUUGAUAUGAUAUAUAAUUAAAUUUAAAUGAUAGUAACAUAUAUAUGGUAUAUGUUAAUAUUAAUAUUUAUUGGAUGAUGCUUUUUGCUCAGAUUUGUUUUUUUAUCAUUUGUAUCUCUUAUAGCAAAAAAUUUAAAUUAGUGAUAACAAAAUUUUCACUGUGAAAAUAACGGUUUAAGUAAUUUAUAAUAUUUAUGAAAAUUAAGUUGUCAAUAUUUUUUCAAAAUUUUUAUCAAAAAAAUGUUCAAAGUAAAUUUCAAAAUUACGAUAUUUAUGUAUUUUUAUAUGGCAUAUAGUUCAAUUUAAAAUGAUACAUAUAUUUAUAUAUAUUUUAUUUUUGAUACUUAUUAAAUGAGACUUUCAAGUUAUAUUAUUUUUCAAUUAUUUGUAUCAUGUCGUAACAAAAGUUUUAAAUCAUAGAUCAUAAAAUUUGAAUGUGAAACUUUUAACAGUUUUAGUAAUUUAUUAUUAUUUUUAAAAAUUCAAAAUAUAAUAUAUAAAUCAUUUUUUAAAUUUUUAUUAUAUGGUUACUAUGAUUGUUUAAUUUAUUUUAAUAGCUUAAAAUUAAACAAAUAUAAUUAUAAUACACACUUAUUUUUAUCAAAUCUUUAUUAUUCAAAAUCAUUAAUUGUCAUAUAUACUUUAGUCACAUUAGGCAAUUCCGUAAUCUUAUUUAAGAAAAUAAUGAAUCAUAUUAAUAAUGUAUUUAUUGUGGUUUAAUAAAAAGCUUAUUAUAUAUUUAAAUGGACCAACGUAUUUCUCUAAGGAUUCUAAAAAUUAUUCAAGUGAUGAUACGUGGCUACAAAAAAUUGUUGCAAUGCUUCUCAAAUAAUAUAUAGGGGAUAUUCACUGCUAUGCUUCUGCGUAAAUAUUAAAGCAUCGUUAGUCACGAUUGAAGUAAUCACGAUUGAAGUAAAAACAACAUGGAAUAGAUAAUGAAAGAGAGAUAGAUAGUGUUUGUUCAUUAGGCAAAAAAUGAUUCCAUGUUUAGAUCUAAGACAUAAAGACAAAGGGAAUCAAAUCCCCUAUAUAUUAUUUGAGUAGGACGCUGCCGAAAGGAUUCUGUUCUCUCUACAUCGAAAAACGAUACGCACCGAUUCAAUGGAUCUGAAAAAUACUCUCCUUCGCGCCUCUGCUCCUUCAAUUUCCGUUCUCUUCCUUUGGAUGUGAAAAGCUCCAAAUACCUUCAAAUCGAUUUAGAACCAACUAUUGUCAAAACAUUUGCUAAAAGCAAACUUUGACUCUUCUUAAGUUGACCCACAAACCGUGGAGGAUAAUCUGUAAAACCCAAAACUCUUGUCCUUCUGAAUACUUUGCCAAGAUUUAUAACAGCAAAGAUUGAUUUCAUCCAGAAAAAGAGAUUGAGGAUGACCAUCGGAAAAAGAUGAAAACCAAGAAACAGCCGGAAUAUUUAUUAACCCAGAGAGUAUUAGAAGAUUAUUCACAAACACAACAAAAGUAUCGCAAAGCGAAGAUUUUAAGUCGGCUAAACCGAAGCAUACAUCCGCAAACGGAAAGGAAAAUCGAACUAAGCCGAAGGUCCGAUCAAAUAUUUACAUACAAAAAAACAAAAGGAGAAAAAGGUAACCAGCGGUGGUGAAACCACCGGCCCCUAAACGCUAUUUGUUUUCUUUGAAAGUUCUUAGAGAGAGGUUAGAGAAAAAGUAGAGAGAUAAUGGAUUAACAGUAUUAAAGCCCAAUAAAACCACACUCUCCCGUAAAAGAAAAAAAACGAAGCACAGUCUCGCGUAAAAGAAAAAAGUGAAGCUCCCUCCGUCUUUGACACGUGGCGGCAAAAGGAACAGGAUGUGCUGAGGUGGCACUCUAAGGAGAGUUUCUCGGCAACUUUAUUAAGAUAGAUAUAUGUUUUUUUGCUUAACUCUCUUUAUAUUCUUGUUGUGAUACGUAAGGUCCGGCCAUUGUGUUAUUUAACCGAGAGAUUCUUAUAUACAUGUAGGGAAAAUAUCAUUUUAAAUCCUGAGAAUGUCACAUUCUCGCACUUUAAACACUGA
rnacentral:lncRNA from 1 species